rnacentral:rRNA from 1 species
UACGAAGGGGGCUAGCGUUGCUCGGAAUUACUGGGCGUAAAGCGCACGUAGGCGGUCUUUUAAGUCGGGGGUGAAAUCCUGGAGCUCAACUCCAGAACUGCCUUCGAUACUGGAAGACUCGAGUCCGGGAGAGGUGAGUGGAACUGCGAGUGUAGAGGUGAAAUUCGUAGAUAUCAGGAGGAACACCUGUGGUGUAGACAGCUUACUGGACCACUUCUGACGCUGAGACACGAAAGCGUGGGUAGCAAACAGG